AACGAACGCUGGCGGCGUGGAUAAGACAUGCAAGUCGAACGAGAUUUUUCGUUGUAGCAAUACGAUGGAAAGUCUAGUGGCGAACGGGUGCUUAACACGUGGGCAACCUGCCAGGAAGUGGGGGAUAGCUCGCCGAAAGGCGAAUUAAUACCGCAUGUGAUUAGAGAGGACAUCCUUUCGAAAUUAAAGUCGGGGCAACCUGACGCUUCUUGUGGGGCCCGCGGCCUAUCAGCUAGUUGGUGAGGUAACGGCUCACCAAGGCUUUGACGGGUAGCUGGUCUGAGAGGACGACCAGCCACACUGGGACUGAGACACGGCCCACACACCUACGGGUGGCAGCAGUCGAGAAUUUUUGACAAUGGGGGAAACCCUGAUCGAGCGACGCCGCGUGGAGGAUGAAGGUCUUCGGAUUGUAAACUCCUGUCAUUGGGGAACAAUGCACAGAUAUUAACUGUAUUUGUGUUGAUAGUACCCGAAGAGGAAGAGACGGCUAACUCUGUGCCAGCCGCCGCAGUAAGAC
rnacentral:rRNA from 1 species